UACGAAGGGGGCUAGCGUUGCUCGGAAUCACUGGGCGUAAAGCGCACGUAGGCGGAUUGCUAAGUCGGGGGUGAAAUCCUGGAGCUCAACUCCAGAACUGCCUUCGAUACUGGCGAUCUUGAGUCCGGGAGAGGUGAGUGGAACUCCGAGUGUAGAGGUGAAAUGCGCAGAUAUCAGGAGGAACACCUAUUGCGAAGGCAGCUCGCUGGGACGUAACUGACGCUGAGACGCGAAAGCGUGGGGAGCAAACAGG
rnacentral:rRNA from 1 species